GCCUUCGUAGCUCAGUGGUAGAGCGCGUGGCUUUUAACCACGUGGUUGUGGGUUUGAUCCCCACAGAAGGUG
rnacentral:tRNA from 1 species